rnacentral:rRNA from 1 species
ACAAGAGCCCGUAGUCGAAUCGCCCUUUAGCGGGGUGAAUGUGACGGUCGCCACAGACCCAAGUCGCUCGGACGGCUGUGUGAAACCGACUAGAAUGUCGAGCCUGAGAGGGUGAUAGCCCCGUUGCACACGGCCUCCGGCGACGCCACUGUGGCGAGACAAAUGAGUCGGAUAGUUUGGGAUUGCUGUCCAAAGAGCGGUGGUACACUCCACCGAAGGCUAAAUACCGGCACGAAACCGAUAGCGAACAAGUACUGUGAAGGAAAGUUGAAAAGGCGUCUGAAAAGACGGUCAAAAGUACGUGAAACUGCCGGCGGGGAAGCGGAGCGUCCGUUCGUCCGUCUUGGUUCUUCUCGAGCCAUGACGGAGUGCGAUGGGGCGUCGUCUGUCGGGAGGCGCUGUGUGUGCCUGACGGGUUCUCUCGAACGCGUCAAUGCAACCGGCGUCUCUCUCGGCAGGGGGUGCCCGCGGAGCGAUCGAGCAGGCCACUAUCAUGGUAACCCACUUCUGUGAGUUAUCCUGAUGGGCCUGCACAUCCACGCUGCUGAACGGCCGCUCCGACCCGUCUUGAAACACGGACCAAGGAGGCUGAGGCCACAACGAGUCGUGGGGUGGCAAACCUGACGGCGGAGCGAAAGCGAGAGUGUUAAAGUAGCGCCUACAAAGACGGCAAAACUGUCGGCACUGACCGCCCUUUACCCCACAAAAGGGCGAGCCGGAGUUGCGGCCGCAGGACCCGAAAGAUGGUGAACUAUGCCUGGCCAAGACGAAGCCAGAGGAAACUCUGGUGGAGGUCUGGACAAGUUUUGACGUGCAAAUCAAUUUGGCGAGCUGGGUAUAGGGGCGAUAGACUAAUCGAACCAUCUAGUAGCUGGUUCCCUCUGAAAUUUCCCUCGGGAUCGCUGGAGCGCACACGACAGCAACUUCGCCGGGUAGAGCAAUGACUAGAGGCACCGGGACCCACGGUCUCGGCCUAUUCUCAAACUCCCAACCGGCGAGCAGGCUCCU